AUUGAACGCUGGCGGCAUGCUUUACACAUGCAAGUCGAACGGUAACAGGCCGCAAGGUGCUGACGAGUGGCGAACGGGUGAGUAAUGCAUCGGAACGUGCCCAGUCGUGGGGGAUAGCUACUCGAAAGAGUAGCUAAUACCGCAUACGAUCUAUGGAUGAAAGCGGGGGACCGUAAGGCCUCGCGCGAUUGGAGCGGCCGAUGUCAGAUUAGGUAGUUGGUGGGGUAAAGGCUCACCAAGCCAACGAUCUGUAGCUGGUCUGAGAGGACGACCAGCCACACUGGGACUGAGACACGGCCCAGACGCCUACGGGAGGCAGCAGUGGGGAAUUUUGGACAAUGGGCGCAAGCCUGAUCCAGCAAUGCCGCGUGCAGGAAGAAGGCCUUCGGGUUGUAAACUGCUUUUGUACGGAACGAAACGGCUCUGGUUAAUACCCGGGGCUAAUGACGGUACCGUAAGAAUAAGCACCGGCUAACUACGUG
rnacentral:rRNA from 1 species